rnacentral:rRNA from 16 species
GGAUGCGAUCAUACCAGCACUAAAGCACCGGAUCCCAUCACAACUCCGAAGUUAAGCGUGCUUGGGCGAGAGUGGUACUAGGAUGGGUGACCUCCUGGGAAGUCCUCGUGUUGCAUUCC